CCUCUCUCUCGCAGCUGGUCUGAGUUUUGUCAUCUGGGAGACUGGGCUUAGAACAGCUUGAAGUUAGUACAGAGGCGAACGAAGCUUUAAAUCUCCAGCACUUAACAGCUUCUCUGCAGCCUCAGAGGCUGAAUAUUUCAUUGUCCUUGGGACAGGACAAGCCUACCUUCCUAGUAGACCUAGACAUUGGCCCCAAAGAUGUCUUCUCCAUUUCUACCAUGAGGACCUAGAGAGUCAUAAAAUAGUCCUGGAAACCAGACCUCAUUAGCCAGAUUUAAUGAGGCCUCGUUAUGACACUCACUAAUUUUGCAAUUUCUCCACCCACAAUGUCUUGGAUUCCUUAUUUAUAAGGCACUUUCACAUGUGAUCUCACAAAAUCACAACAAUCCCGAUAUAGAAAUGAGGAAACUGAGACUCAGAAAGACCAACUGGCCUUUGCAAGGUUACACUUUUGAUAAACAGGCAAGACAGGAUUCAAAGCAAAAUCUCCUGCCAAGAAACCUUCUGAUUUUAAAUGCCAAGUUCCUGAAAUGAAAUUGAGACUCAAAGCCAGGCACGGUGGCUAACGCCUGUAAUCCCAGCACUGUGGGAGGCCAAGGUGGGCGGAUUGCUUGAGGACAGGAGUUCGAGACCAGCCUGGCCAACAUAGUGAAACCCCAUCUCUACUAAAGAUACAAAAAAAUUAGCUGGGCCUCAGCCUUGGGAGGCUGAGGCAGGAAAAUCGCUUGGACCUGGGAGGUGGAGGUUGCAUUGAGCCUAGAUUGCACCACUGCACUCCAGCCUGGGUGACAGAGUGAGAUGCUGUCUCAGAAAAAAAAGAAAGAAAGAAAGAAGGAAAGAAAGAAAGAAAGAAAGAAAGAAAGAAAGAAAGAAAGAAAGAAAGAAAGAAAGAAAGAAAGAAACUGAGACCCAAAAAAAGGAUCAACAAAAUGAAAAGUUGUUUUUUUUUUUAAAGAUAGACUGCUAAGUAGAUUAACAAAGAAAAAAGAGAGAAGAUCCAAAUAAGCACAAUCAGACAUGACAAAGGCAACAUCACAGCCAAUCCCACAGAAAUACAAAAGAUCCUCAGAAACUACUGUGAACAUCUCUUUGCACACAAACUAGAAAAUCUAAAGGAAAUGGAUAAAUUCCUGGAAACACAGAAACCUCCCAAUAUUGAACAACAACAACAACAACAACAAAACCCCCAGAAAUCCUGAACACACAAAUAAGGAGUAAUCGAAUUUGAAUCAGUAAUAAAAAGCCUACCAACCAAAAAAAAGACCUGGACCAGAUGGAUUCACAGCCAAGUUCUACCAUACAUACAAAGAGGAGCUGAUACUAAUCCUAUUGAAAUUAUUCCAAAAAAUCAAGGAUGAGGGACUUCUCCCUAACCCAUUCUAUAAAACCAGUAUCAUCCUGAUACCAAAAUCUGUCAAACACACAACAACAAAAAAAUAAAACUACAGGCCAAUAUCCCUGAUGAAAUAGACACAAAAAUUUUCAACAAAAUAUUAGCAAACCAAAUCCAGCAGCACAUCAAAAAGUUAAUUCACCAUGAUCAAAUGGGCUUUAUUCUUGGGAUGCAAGGAUGGUUCAAUGUAAGCAAACCAAUAAAUGUGGAUCAUCACAUAAACAGAAUUAAAAACCAUAUGAUUAUCUCAAUAAACACAGAAAAAGUUUUUGAUAAAAUCCAACAUCCAGGCAGGUGUGGUGGCUCAUUCCUAUAAUCCCAACACUUUGAGAGACCAAGGUGAGAGGAUCACUUGAGCCCGGGAGUUCAAGAUCAGCCUGGGCCACCUGGUGAGACCCCAUCUCUACCAAAAAUUUAAAAAUUAGCCGGGCAUGGUGGCAUACACCCAUGGUCCCAGCUACUCAGGAUGCUGAAGUGGGAGGAUUGCUUGAACCCAGGAGGUCAAGGCUUCAGUGAGCCAUGAUUGUGCCACUGCACUUCAGCCUGGAUGACAGAGAGAAACACCAUCUCCCCUCCCCUCGAAAAAUACAACAUCUCUUCAUGAUAAAAACUCUCAACAAGCUAAGCAUUGAAGGAACAUACCUCAAAAUAAUAAGAGCCAUCUAUGACAGACCCACUGCCAGCAUCAUACUGAAUGAGAAAAGGCUGGAAGCAUUUUCCUUGAGAACUGGAACAAGACAAGUAUGUCCACUUUCACCGCUCUUAUUCAACAUAGUACUGGAAGUCCUAGCCUGAGCAAUCAGGGAAGAGAACAAAAUAAAAGGCAUCCAAAUGGGAAAAGAGAAAGUCAAAUUAUCUCUCUUUGCUGACGAUAUGAUUUUAUACCUAAAGACUCUGCCAAAAUUCUCCUAGAUCUGAUAAACAACUUUAGCAAAGCCUUGAGAUACAAAGUCAACAUACAAAAAUUGAAAGCAUUUCUAUACAUCAAUACCAUUCAAUCUGAGAACCAAAUUAAGAAUCUAAUCCCAUUUACAAUAGCCACACAUACACACAAAUAAAAUACCUGGGAAUACAUCUAACCAAGGAGGUGAAAUAUCUCUACAAGGAGAACUAUGAAACACUGAUGAAAGAAAUCACAGGGCUUGGCGCAGUGGCUCAUGCCUGUAAUUCCAGCACUUUGGGAGGCCGAGGUGAGUGGAUCACCUGAGGUCAGGAGUUAGAGACCAGCCUGGCCAACAUGAUGAAACCCCAUCUCUACUAAAAAUACAAAAAAUUAUCCAGGCAAGAUGGUGGGUGCCUGUAAUCCCAGCUACUCAGGAGAAUCACUUUAUCCCAGGGGGCGGAGGUUGCAGUGAGCCAAGAUCAUGCCACUGCACUCCAACCUGGGCAACAAGAGUGAAACAUCAUCUCAAAAAAAAAAAAAAGAAAAGAAAGAAAAAGAAAAAGAAAAAAAAAGAAAUCAUAGCUGACACAUACAAAUGGUAAAGCAUCACAUACUCAUGGAUUGGAAGAAUCAAUAUCGUUAAAUGUCCAUACUGCCCAAAGCAAUCUACUGAUUCAACACUAUUCCUGUCAAAUUACCAAUGUCAUUUUUCACAGAAUUAGAAAAAUGCUAUUCUAAAAUUCAUAUGGAACCAAAAAGAGCCCAAAUAGCCAAGGCAAUCAUAAGCAAAGAAAAGCCAGAGGCAUCACAUCACCCGACUUCAAACUAAACUACAAGGCUACAGUAACCAAAACAGAAUGCUAUUGGUACAAAAAUAGACACAUACACCAAUGGAACAGAAUAGAGACCCUGAAAAUAAACUCACACAUCUAUAACCAAGUGAUCUUUGACAAAGUCAACAAAAAUAAACAAUAGAGAAAGGACGCUUUAUUCAAUAAAUUGUUCUGAGAAAACUGGCUGACCAUAUGCAGAAGAAUGAAAGUGGACACCUAUCUCUUAAUAUAUACAAAAAUUAACUCAGGAUGGAUUAAAGAUUUAAAUGUAAGCCCUAAAAUGAUAAAAAAUCCUAGGAGAAAACCUAGGAAAUACCCUUCUAGACAUUGGCCUAAGCAAAGAAUUUAUGACUAAGUCCUCGAAAGCAAAUGCAACAAAAAAUAUUGAAAAUUGGGACCUAAUUAAAGAGCUUCUGCAUAGCAAAAGAAGCUAUCAACAGAGUAAACAGACAGUCUACAGAAUGGGAAAAAAUAUUUACAAACACUAUGCAUAUGACAAAGGACUAUUAUCUAGAAUCUAUAAGGAACCCAAACAACUCAACAAGUAAAAAACAACCCCACUGAAAAGUGGGCAAAGGACAUGAACAGACACUUCUCAAAAGAAGAUAUACAGGUGGCCAACAAACAUACGAAAAAAUGCUCAGCACUGCUAAUCAUCAAAGUGAUGCAAAUCAAAACCACAACAAGAUAUCAUCUCACACCACUCAGGAAUGGCUAUUAUUAAAAAGUCAAAAAAUAACCGAUGUUGGCAAGGCUGCAGAGAAAAGGGAACCCUUAUACACUGUUGGUGGGAAUGCAAAUUAGUUCAGCCACUGUGGAAAGCAUUUUAGAGAUUUCUUAAAGAACUAAAAACAGAAUUACAGUUCAACCCAGCAAUCCCAUUACUAGUUGUAGGAAAAUAAAUCAUUCUACCAAAAAGACAUCUGCACUCAAAUGUUUAUUGCAGCACCAUUCACAAUAGCAAAGACAUGGAAAUCAACCCAAAUGCCCAUCAAUGGUGGAUUGGAUGAAGAAAAUAUGGCACAUAUGCCCCAUGGAAUACUACACAACCAUAAAAAAGAACAAAAUCAUGUCCUUUGCAGCAACAUGGAUGCAGCUGGAGGCCCUUGGCCUAAGUGAAUUAAUACAGGAACAGAAAACCAAAUAUCGCAUGUUCUCAUUUAUAAGUGGGAGCUAAGCAUGGGGUACACACAGGCACAAAGAUGGGAAUAGUAAACACUGGACCCCAAAAGGAAGGAGGGAGAGAGUGGGACAAAGGUUGAAAAAACUAUCUAUUGGGUACUAUAUUCCCUACUGGGAUGAUAGGAUUAUUAGAAGCCCAAACCCCAGCGUCACACAAUAUACCCAUACAACAAACAUGCAUGUGCACACCCUGAGUCUAAAAUCAAAAUUUUUUUAAUUAAAAAAAAAAUGCUGAGUUCUGUACAAUGGAAAGGUGGGAUGGCAGGAAGGUGAGCAUGUCUGCAAAUCACAAGACUCCCUGGGCGCCGUGGAGAUGGUCCUCAGCUACGAACAAAGCCAUUUUC
rnacentral:lncRNA from 1 species